rnacentral:rRNA from 1 species
ACGUAGGUGGCAAGCGUUAUCCGGAUUUACUGGGCGUAAAGGGUGUGCAGGCGGCUGACCAAGUGGUGUAUGAAAUCGCCGGGCUUAACCGGGCGAGGCUAUGCCAGACUGGUCGGCUAGAGUGCGGGAGAGGGACGUGGAAUUCCGGGUGUAGUGGUGAAAUGCGUAGAGAUCCGGAGGAACCCCAGAGGCGAAGGCGGCGUCCUGGCCCGACACUGACGCUCAGACACGACAGCAUGGGGAGCGAACGGGA